GACGAACGCUGGCGGCGUGCCUAAUACAUGCAAGUAGAACGCACAGUUUAUACCGUAGCUUGCUACACCAUAGACUGUGAGUUGCGAACGGGUGAGUAACGCGUAGGUAACCUGCCUGGUAGCGGGGGAUAACUAUUGGAAACGAUAGCUAAUACCGCAUAAUAUUAAUUAUUGCAUGAUAAUUAAUUGAAAGGUGCAAUUGCACCACUACCAGAUGGACCUGCGUUGUAUUAGCUAGUAGGUGAGGUAACGGCUCACCUAGGCGACGAUACAUAGCCGACCUGAGAGGGUGGUCGGCCACACUGGGACUGAGACACGGCCCAGACUCCUACGGGAGGCAGCAGUAGGGAAUCUUCGGCAAUGGACGAAAGUCUGACCGAGCAACGCCGCGUGAGUGAAGAAGGUUUUCGGAUCGUAAAGCUCUGUUGUAAGAGAAGAACGGGUGUGAGAGUGGAAAGUUCACACUGUGACGGUAGCUUACCAGAAAGGGACGGCUAACUACGUG
rnacentral:rRNA from 1 species